rnacentral:rRNA from 1 species
AUUGAACGCUGGCGGCAGGCUUAACACAUGCAAGUCGAGCGGGGUGAUGGUGCUUGCACUAUCACUUAGCGGCGGACGGGUGAGUAAUGCUUAGGAAUCUACCUAUUAGUGGGGGACAACAUCUCGAAAGGGAUGCUAAUACCGCAUACGUCCUACGGGAGAAAGCAGGGGAUCACUUGUGACCUUGCGCUAAUAGAUGAGCCUAAGUCGGAUUAGCUAGUUGGUGGGGUAAAGGCCUACCAAGGCGACGAUCUGUAGCGGGUCUGAGAGGAUGAUCCGCCACACUGGGACUGAGACACGGCCCAGACUCCUACGGGAGGUAGCAGUGGGGAAUAUUGGACAAUGGGGGGAACCCUGAUCCAGCCAUGCCGCGUGUGUGAAGAAGGCCUUAUGGUUGUAAAGCACUUUAAGCGAGGAGGAGGCUCUUUUGGUUAAUACCCAAGAUGAGUGGACGUUACUCGCAGAAUAAGCACCGGCUAACUCUGUGCCAGCAGCCGCCGUAAGAC